GAUGAACGCUAGCGGCAGGCUUAAUACAUGCAAGUCGUGGGGCAGCGCAGGUAGCAAUACUGGGCGGCGACCGGCAAACGGGUGCGGAACACGUAUACAACCUUCCGAGAAGUGGGGAAUAGCCCAGAGAAAUUUGGAUUAAUACCCCGUAACAUAACGAUGUGGCAUCACAUUGUUAUUAUAGCUUCGGCGCUUCUUGAUGGGUGUGCGGCUGAUUAGAUAGUUGGCGGGGUAACGGCCAACCAAGUCUACGAUCAGUAGCUGAUGUGAGAGCAUGAUCAGCCACACGGGCACUGAGACACGGGCCCGACUCCUACGGGAGGCAGCAGUAAGGAAUAUUGGUCAAUGGACGCAAGUCUGAACCAGCCAUGCCGCGUGAAGGAUUAAGGUCCUCUGGAUUGUAAACUUCUUUUAUCUGGGACGAAAAAAGGCGAUUCUUCGUCACUUGACGGUACCAGAUGAAUAAGCACCGGCUAACUCCGUGCCAGCCGCCGCGGUAACAC
rnacentral:rRNA from 1 species